UCUAUCUCUUCUCUGACCUCUAACCCCCCUCUGAAUUGAAUCAGAAGGAACAAAAAAGAGGUCGAUGACGUGUUUGGUGGCCUUCUGCCAGCAGAGUGAAUCCUUGAAAUGGCCCUUUUCCAAUUAGCCCUUCCUUGCUUGCCAGCUUCCAAGUCACUCCAGCUUGCUAACGCCUCCCCACCAUUUGCCAGGCCAUCUGCAUACAAUUGGUCUUCUCAGGAAUCAUUUUAGCACCAUUUCUGUUCAUUUAGCCAUGCUUCUGAUUUUUAAAGGCCCCUUAUCCGUUUCUUACAAGAAGACAUUUUACAAAACACAGACAUUCAAAAUAUCACAAGAUUUUUUUUUUUUAAACAGGGAAGAGAAGCUGUUUCUCCAUGGGGAGCCAACCUUCAGAUGAUGAACUGCCUAAUUUGCUUUGUGAACUUUGGGAUAUUUUACGCUAAAUGUAGAGUUGAAGAAACAGAUGUAGUCUUCCAAGAGCUAAAGAGAAGGUGAAGGUUCAAGCAGAGAAGAAUGGGGUUGGAAUUUGGAGAUGCAAUAACAUGCCAAUGUCAAAGCUCAGAUGUUUUGGAAGGCAGAGUGGACAGUGAGAGAGACAGAGAGAAAGGUCUUCCUUUGCUGUUGGUUCACCCUCCAAUGGCCGCUGCAGCCAGAGUGCUGCAGCCGGCGCACCGUGCUGAUCCGAUGGCAGGAGCAAGGUACUUCUCCUGGUCUCCCACGGGGUGCAGGGCCCAAGCACUUGGGCCAUCCUCCACUGCACUCCUGGGCUAUAGCAGAGGGCUGGCCUGGAAGAGGGGCAACCGGGACAGAAUCUAGUCCCCGACCGGGACUAAAACCCGGUGUGCCGGCGCCGCAAGGUGGAGGAUUAGUCUAGUGAGCCGCAGCGCUGGCCUAUUUUAUAAAUUUUUAAAUGGUACCCAUUUUCCUUACAAUUUCAUCUAAUUUAUUGUGCUUAUAUAUGAAUGUCUCAGGUUUCAUAAUUGGCAUUUGAAUCUUCUUUACCGCAGUGCUGGAUUCAUGUUCAAUCUAAUAUGUGUGUCAUAUGAUUCAGAAAAUCCCAUCUUGCCUUGAUUGCUAGGACUUUGGUCAUUAGGGCUCUUUUAUGGACUGUCACCAGAGAAGUACAACUUCCACCCAGUCCCCAGUAGUGAGUUCAGAUACCACCCUUCUUGGCUAUUAUAAUUUUCUUUAAGAUCUAACUUACUUUAGGUAUGAGGCUAUUAUAUGGCACAGAGUGUUAAAGAGGAAACAAUGAGGCAUACAUAUAAUCUUGUUUCUACAGCUUUGAAAUAACCUUCAAAGAUAGCUGCUUUCUCCUUGGGUUUCUAUGAAGUCUCCACUUCUUACUUCCUCUUUGGUCAUACCCCAGUUUAGUUUCAAAAUUUCCUUAAGCUUAGCUUGAUAAUGAAGGAACUGGUGACUCUUCUUGCCUCUCCACCCCAAUUCCUUCCUUCUCUAGUGUGCAAAAAAAAAAAAAAAAAAAUGCCUCUAGCCUGAGGCACUUAAGUUUCCUAGCUAUAUCUUUUUACAGUUCUCAGGGAUAUAGAAUGGUUAUUUUGGCCUUAACCUACUCUGUUUUACUUCUGUAUAGAGGGCUGAGCUCUUUUUUCAUUCGUCCUGCUGGCUCCUGGCAGACCUUCAAUCCAAUCAUUGUAGUUAACUGCAACACUACUUGUUUACUUCUCCAAAUAGUUCCAUGUAAAUCACAGAAUUCUGCGAAGGUCACAUAUUGAACAGAAUGCUAGCCAAGAGGACACAGACAAAGGUGGGGGGAGGACAUUACUUCCCAGCAGGUGAACUCAGAUAUGAAAAUCUAGAUUUAUGCAACAAAUAAAUCAAGGCAAAAAUUUUCACUUUACAGAAGGAUUCACCGUGGGGUUCCUUUAAAUGGCUGAUUCUCUUAGUGUGUGUUACAAUGGUAUUCUAUUAUGAAAAAAAAAUAAAUCAAAUCCAAGUGAAAGUUUUCAGAAAAUAGGCAAUUAUUAUGAUACCUGGUAAAUUUUGUAGAUUUUCUCUUCCUUGAAAAUAAACUGUU